UUGGUUUAGAACGGACGAUGGGCUUUAGAUUCACUCAAACAAUACUCAAAUCGUUAAGAGAAGAUUAGGAGAGCAUCGUCCAUAUAUGGAGUCCGUCUGCGAGGAUUCUGAUGAUAUUUUAGCAGGGGUUUUAAAUACGUUUUGAUGACAUCUCUUAAAGGUACUAUUUUUAGGAGGAGAGAAAUUGGAGAAUCAAGGGUCAACAGCUCUAUCAAGUACUAUUCUUACCUAUUUGUUUCUUCUAAUUUUUGAUCCAGCAUCCGGAAAAUAUGAAAUGAUAUGUUUAUUUGUUAAUUUCGGUAUUUGAUGUCAUGUCUUCUAGGUGUUUGAUGAAAUGCUAGAUAUGUUAGAAGUAAGCGUUUGU
rnacentral:lncRNA from 1 species